rnacentral:rRNA from 1 species
UUGGUUAAGUCCUCGACCGAUUAGUACUGGUCCGCUCCAUGCAUCGCUGCACUUCCACUUCCAGCCUAUCUACCUGAUCAUCUCUCAGGGGUCUUACUUCCAUAUAGGAAUGGGAAAUCUCAUCUCGAGGGGGGCUUCACACUUAGAUGCUUUCAGCGUUUAUCCCUGCCGUUCAUAGCUACCCAGCGAUGCGCCUGGCGGCACAACUGGUACACCAGCGGAACGUCCAUCCCGGUCCUCUCGUACUAAGGACAGCUCCUCUCAAAUUUCCUGCGCCCGCGACGGAUAGGGACCGAACUGUCUCACGACGUUCUGAACCCAGCUCGCGUACCGCUUUAAUGGGCGAACAGCCCAACCCUUGGGACCGACUACAGCCCCAGGAUGCGAUGAGCCGACAUCGAGGUGCCAAACCUCCCCGUCGAUGUGGACUCUUGGGGGAGAUAAGCCUGUUAUCCCCAGGGUAGCUUUUAUCCGUUGAGCGAUGGCCCUUCCAUACGGAACCACCGGAUCACUAAGCCCGACUUUCGUCCCUGCUCGACUUGUCAGUCUCGCAGUCAAGCUCCCUUAUACCUUUACACUCUGCGAAUGAUUUCCAACCAUUCUGAGGGAACCUUUGGGCGCCUCCGUUACAUUUUAGGAGGCGACCGCCCCAGUCAAACUGCCCACCUGACACUGUCUCCCGCCACGAUUAGUGGCGCGGGUUAGAGUGUUCAUACAGCUAGGGUAGUAUCCCACCAACGCCUCCAUCGAAACUAGCGUUCCGAUCUCUACGGCUCCUACCUAUCCUGUACAAGCGGUACAAACACUCAAUAUCAAGCUACAGUAAAGCUCCAUGGGGUCUUUCCGUCCUGUCGCGGGUAACCCGCAUCUUCACGGGUACUAUAAUUUCACCGAGUCUCUCGUUGAGACAGUGCCCAAAUCAUUACGCCUUUCGUGCGGGUCGGAACUUACCCGACAAGGAAUUUCGCUACCUUAGGACCGUUAUAGUUACGGCCGCCGUUUACUGGGGCUUCAAUUCUGGGCUUCGCUUGCGCUAACUCAUCCUCUUAACCUUCCAGCACCGGGCAGGCGUCAGCCCCUAUACAUCAUCUUACGAUUUAGCAGAGACCUGUGUUUUUGAUAAACAGUUGUUUGGGCCUAUUCACUGCGGCUGACCUUGCGGUCAGCACCCCUUCUUCCGAAGUUACGGGGUCAUUUUGCCGAGUUCCUUAACGAGAGUUCGCUCGCUCACCUGAGGAUACUCUCCUCGACUACCUGUGUCGGUUUGCGGUACGGGUAGUUUAUUUCUCACUAGAAGCUUUUCUUGGCAGUGUGACAUCAGGAACUUCGCUACUAUAAUUUCGCUCCCCAUCACAGCUUGUCCUUAAGACUGCAAGCAUUUCACUCGCUGUCAGACUUGCUGCUUGGGCGCACAUUUCCAGCCGUGCGCUUUCCUUAGCCUCCUGCGUCCCUCCAUCGCUUAAACAAAAUAAACUAGUGCAGGAAUCUCAACCUGCUUGUCAUCGACUACGCCUCUCGGCCUCGCCUUAGAUCCCGACUAACCCUGGGAGGACGAGCCUUCCCCAGGAAACCUUAGUCAUACGGUGGAUCAGAUUCUCACUGAUCUUUCGCUACUCAUGCCGGCAUUCUCACUUCUAAGCGCUCCAGCCGUCCUCACGAUCGACCUUCAACGCCCUUAGAACGCUCUCCUACCGCGCACCCUUACGGGUGCACCCACAGUUUCGGUAUUAUGCUUAGCCCCGGUAUAUUUUCGGCGCAGUGCCACUCGACUAGUGAGCUAUUACGCACUCUUUAAAUGGUGGCUGCUUCUGAGCCAACAUCCUAGUUGUCUGUGCAACGCCACAUCCUUUUCCACUUAGCAUAAAUUUAGGGACCUUAACUGGUGAUCUGGGCUGUUCCCCUUUCGACAAUGGACCUUAUCGCUCACUGUCUGACUCCCGGAGUAAGAUCGAUGGUAUUCGGAGUUUAUCUGAAUUCAGUAACCCUUGAUGGGCCCCUAGUUCAAACAGUGCUCUACCUCCAUGAUCCAUCCUCCGAGGCUAACCCUAAAGCUAUUUCGGAGAGAACCAGCUAUCUCCAAGUUCGUUUGGAAUUUCACCGCUACCCACAACUCAUCCCAGCAUUUUUCAACAUACAUGGGUUCGGUCCUCCAGUGUGUUUCACCACACCUUCAACCUGGUCAUGGGUAGGUCACUUGGUUUCGGGUCUACAUCUGCUUACUCAUUCGCCCUGUUCAGACUCGCUUUCGCUACGGCUCCGACUUUUCAUCUUAACCUCGCAAGCAAACGUAACUCGCCGGUUCAUUCUACAAAAGGCACGCCAUUACCCAUUAACGGGCUUUGACUAAUUGUAGGCACACGGUUUCAGGAACUGUUUCACUCCCCUUCCGGGGUGCUUUUCACCUUUCCCUCACGGUACUGGUUCACUAUCGGUCACUAGGGAGUAUUUAGCCUUGGGAGAUGGUCCUCCCGGAUUCCGACGGAAUUUCACGUGUUCCGCCGUACUCAGGAUCCUG